rnacentral:rRNA from 1 species
GGAAGUAAUAAUCGUAACAAGGUCUCCGUUGGUGAACCAGCGGAGGGAUCAUUGCUGGAACGCGCCCCAGGCGCACCCAGAAACCCUUUGUGAACUUAUACCCUACCGUUGCCUCGGCGCCAGCUGGUCCUCCGGGGCCCCUCACCCGCCUGCGGGUGUUGAGAGAGCACGCCGGCGGCCAGCCUAACUCUUGUUUUUACACUGAAACUCUGAGGAUAAAACAUAAAUGAAUCAAAACUUUCAACAACGGAUCUCUUGGUUCUGGCAUCGAUGAAGAACGCAGCGAAAUGCGAUAAGUAAUGUGAAUUGCAGAAUUCAGUGAAUCAUCGAAUCUUUGAACGCACAUUGCGCCCUCUGGUAUUCCGGAGGGCAUGCCUGUUCGAGCGUCAUUUCAACCCUCAAGCCUGGCUUGGUGAUGGGGCACUGCUUUUACCCAAAAGCAGGCCCUGAAAUAUAGUGGCGAGCUCGCCAGGACCCCGAGCGCAGUAGUUAAACCCUCGCUCUGGAAGGCCCUGGCGGUGCCCUGCCGUUAAACCCCCAACUCUUGAAAAUUUGACCUCGGAUCAGGUAGGAAUACCCGCUGAACUUAAGCAUAUCAAUAAGGCGGAGGAAG